UACGGAGGGUGCGAGCGUUAUCCGGAUUUACUGGGUUUAAAGGGUGCGUAGGUGGGCUUUUAAGUCAGUGGUGAAAUCUUCGGGCUCAACCCGGAAACUGCCAUUGAUACUAUUGGUCUUGAAUCCUGUUGAGGUGGGCGGAAUACAUCAUGUAGCGGUGAAAUGCUUAGAGAUGAUGUAGAACACCGAUUGCGAAGGCAGCUCACUAAGCAGGCAUUGACGCUGAGGCACGAAAGCGUGGGGAUCAAACAGG
rnacentral:rRNA from 1 species